AUUGAACGCUGGCGGCAUGCUUUACACAUGCAAGUCGAACGGCAACAGGCCGCAAGGUGCUGACGAGUGGCGAACGGGUGAGUAAUGCAUCGGAACGUGCCCAGUCGUGGGGGAUAACGCAGCGAAAGCUGCGCUAAUACCGCAUACGAUCUGUGGAUGAAAGCGGGGGACCGAAAGGCCUCGCGCGAUUGGAGCGGCCGAUGUCAGAUUAGGUAGUUGGUGGGGUAAAGGCCCACCAAGCCAACGAUCUGUAGCUGGGCUGAGAGGACGACCAGCCACACUGGGACUGAGACACGGCCCAGACUCCUACGGGAGGCAGCAGUGGGGAAUUUUGGACAAUGGGCGCAAGCCUGAUCCAGCAAUGCCGCGUGCAGGAAGAAGGCCUUCGGGUUGUAAACUGCUUUUGUACGGAACGAAACGGUCCGGGUUAAUACCCUGGGCUAAUGACGGUACCGUAAGAAUAAGCACCGGCUAACUACGUGCCAGCCGCCGCAGUAAAAC
rnacentral:rRNA from 1 species